rnacentral:misc_RNA from 1 species
GGCAAACCUAAACUUUGUUAAAAGAAAACGAAAAACUAUAUAAAUAAUAUAUUUUGUCGUGUAUAAUAAAAAUAACUAAAACAAUAAUUUAAUACUCUAAAAUAUGUAUUUUAUUAUAAAGAUUUUGAGAUUUGCCUACCGCUGCUUCCAAUAUUAGAAAUUAGCCUUUACUGCACAAUAAGUAACAUCUAAAAUAAAUGAAUUUAUAAUUUUUUUUUAUUUAAAUUCAACCCAUUAUUAAUUUAAAAUAUUAGAUAUAUAAUGAGUUUUAAAUGUAUAAAUCAUAUUCAUACCAUGAUAGAUUAGGUGAGAGGCAAU